UUGAAAUUGUAUUUUGAGCAAAGUUUUAAGACGUCUUGGCUUGGGGAUAAAAUAGAGAAUUCCUCCUCCGGCAUUUACUAUCCAUCCUGAAUCCCAAUUGUCAAAACCAUUCGAUGCUUGGUGUUCUGAUUCAUCACGGCAGCCCUUUAAUUGAAUUGCCUCCCCCUUUAAGAAACCAUCAAUCAAUCUCCUGUUUGUAUUUGCUUUUGUUUUCUUCUAUUGAAUCACUGAAAAGCAGAUGAGUGGGGCUAGAUUGUGUUCGUUAUUAGGAACCAUCAAUCACUGAGGUUGAAGAGGGGUUAUCGCAUACAUGGUUAGCCUAGGGUUAGGAUGAAGAUGCAGUGAGAUGACGAUACAGGGUUGAAGGUAAUAUUUGGUUUUAGAUCUGAACUGCUGAAUGGGUGAAUUCGUAUUAUACAUGUAAUCUGUUUGAAUCUACAUUGCAUGUGUCGCUUUUAUGUUUGAAGCCUGGUAAUUACUCUGUGAAUUGUACGAUUUCAGCAACCGUGGUUCAUGACUAAUACGCCGUUAAUUGAGACUUCUGAUACUAAUCAGAUUGUUGUGCUUGAUGUAAGUAUUUUUAAUAUGCUUUUAUUGUAAUUAAGAAUUAGUUCUUUUGGUUACACUUUUUCAAUCUCCAGCAGACUACAAAACACUAUUUUUUUGGAAAAAAUAUUAGAAGGAACAUCAAGCUUUAAUCUUUUCAUUAGCUUAGCAUGGUUAGAAAAACCAACAUAAAUUUAAGAUUAGAUCGAUUGGUUUCUAUUUCUCACAAGUUAAUUGAUAUUAAAUAAUCAGAAUUAGAUGAUAAAAGUUGGUUCUUAGAGGGUCUUUUGUAAACUUGAAAAUUAUGACUUAUUAUGAAAUUAAUUAAUAGAUGAAAUGACUAAAAUCACAUUUUUGUAGAAGAUGGGAAGACGUUUUGUUAAUUAAGAGUAAAAUUAUUUUGAUUAGCUUAAAAGGAAAUAAUUUUAUUUUGAGUAAAAUGCCAAAAUCGUCCCUGAUAUUUGGGCACUUUUGCCUGUUACAUCUAAAAUAAGAAUUUUUUGUCUGUUUUGCACUUGUGGAAUGUUGAUUAUGAGCUGGCCAAACUGUUGACCUCUGAGAUGAAGCUUAAGAAACCUUAGAAUUUCUUUGUAUCUUCUGGUUUGCUUGCUUGGAGACAGAGGAUCUCUCAUGUUGACUUUUCCUGGUCCAAGUGCAACACUCGAGAUGCUGCUGCUGUUCUCAAGCAUUUAAAGGAUCACCUCUUGACCAAAAAUAAAUUCGUGAAGGUUUUGGCAAAGAUUGAAAGUUUAGAAUCUCUAAAGAAUCUUGAAGAAAUCGUGCAAGUAUCAGAUGGAAUCAUGGUGGCACGAGGUGAUCUUGGAGUCGAAAUACCACUAGAAUAGGUUCCUGCAGUACAGGAAGAAAUAAUCGAUCUGUGUAGAAAGUUAAACAAGCCUGUAAUUAUUGCCUCACAGCUUCUUGAAUCAAUGAUCGAAUAUUCUACCCCAACUCGAGCUGAGGUUGCUGAUGUUUCUGAGGCGGUUAGACAACGUGCUGACGCGUUGAUGCUAUCUGGUGAGUCAGCGAUGGGAUCAUAUAGUCAAAAGGCUAUAUCCGUUUUGAGAAUGACUAGCGCCCGAAUGGACGGGCGUAUGGCGUCGUCUUUGCAAAAGAGCAAAAAACUUUGUUGGUUCUCCUCACGGCCCCAUCUCCAGUUCCGGGGAAAACCCGAGUUAGAGGUUUUGUUAGGGGAGAGAAGGCGUGUGCGUUACUGAAAGAUGCAGAAACACAGAAGCUAGCACGCGCUAUGCGCCCCAAAAAGCGGAAGCGGAUACCUCCUUCAUAUAUCCUUGAGCCCGGAUCGAAAACUCAUAGAUGUAGUUGGGGAUCAUCUUAGCGGAUUGCUUGUGCACUCUUCAAGUGGAAAGCCAGGAACUUGUUUGCAUCCGCAUGGCAGAGGGCUGCCACAGUGGAAGGCCACCUAGACUACUCGUUUGCAUCCGCAUGGCAUCCGGAUGGCCGAAUCUUUUCUACAGGCAAUCAAGACAAGACUUGUAGGCUAUGGGAUAUGAGAAAUCUUGCAACCCCGGUCCCGGUUCUUAAAGGCAAACAUCAUGUUUUAAGUAGUGCAUUUGUUUAAUUGACAAAUCUAUUCUUUUUUAUAACAAAUAUUUUCUUAAAAUAGAGUAUUGUAGAUGGUAAGUGUUAGUGGUAAGUUGGUGAUUUGUUCAUGUCUCAUGUUAUUGACCCCGCUGCAACGCGCGGGUCUUCCACUAGUAUUCGUAAAAGAGUAAAUUAGGAUUUGG
rnacentral:lncRNA from 1 species